ACGUUGGUAGCUUAAAGGACAAAGCUUUUACCUUCUAAGUAAAAAAUUAUAGGUUCAAGUCCUAUUCAACGUU
rnacentral:tRNA from 1 species